AGUGAACGCUGGCGGUGGGCCUAACACAUGCAAGUCGAACGGCAGCACAGUAAGAGCUUGCUCUUACGGGUGGCGAGUGGCGGACGGGUGAGGAAUACAUCGGAAUCUACUUUUUCGUGGGGGAUGACGUAGGGAAACUUACGCUAAUACCGCAUACGACCUACGGGUGAAAGCAGGGGAUCUUCGGACCUUGCGCGAUUGAAUGAGCCGAUGUCGGAUUAGCUAGUUGGCGGGGUAAAGGCCCACCAAGGCGACGAUCCGUAGCUGGUCUGAGAGGAUGAUCAGCCACACUGGAACUGAGACACGGUCCAGACUCCUACGGGAGGCAGCAGUGGGGAAUAUUGGACAAUGGGCGCAAGCCUGAUCCAGCCAUACCGCGUGGGUGAAGAAGGCCUUCGGGUUGUAAAGCCCUUUUGUUGGGAAAGAAAAGCAGCAGGUUAAUACCCCGCUGUUCUGACGGUACCCAAAGAAUAAGCACCGGCUAACUUCGUG
rnacentral:rRNA from 1 species